AAUGUGUUUUUGAUUAGGUUUGUAACCAAUGUUCCCUUUAAUUUUGUUUCUUCCUGAGCAAAACUUUUCUAUGUUGGGCGGACAUUUCGUCCACCUGAGAAAAACAUUUU